rnacentral:lncRNA from 1 species
AAAAGAGAUGAUUCAAUUUUAAGCUCUGAAAUAUUUUUUUUGUAUUUUCAAAUUCUAGAAAUAAAGAAUUUUUGAAUAAUAAGUAUUAAAAGUCAAAAGGUUUUUAAAUUUACUAUUUUGAAUUAUUUUUAAAUGCUUAAAUAUAUGACAGGAUCAUUUGUAAAUAUCAUAGUGGUGUACAUUGUCAAAAGUUGAGCAAAACUAACUAUACAGUUAAUUCUCAAAUAACUGUACAGACUAAAAUAAAUUGCAAUUUACUAUAUAGACAGAAAGGCUUAAGUUAUAAAUGCAAAGACAAUAUCACAUGAAAAUAUGAGUUUUCUUAUUUAAAUUUUUUUUGAGAUUCAUAAGAUCAAACAUUUGUGUCAUAAUUAAAUAACUGUGACCCUUUUCACAAAAUCUUUGCAGUAAAAUUUUUGGAGCAUUUCAACACAACAUUAGGUCAAUUUAAACUGAAAGAUUUUUUUUCUGAAAAGAGCCACUGGAUUUCAUAAAUUUAAAAAUAUCAUGUACAUCAUGAACAGCAGUUUUUGAUAACUUGUAAAAUGGAAGACAAUAGAUUUCAAAGGAAGAACAAGGGAAUUAAUUCAAAAUGCUUAUUUGAUAUUACAUAAUCAAUUUCAUGUUUCCUUCAUUUGUCUUGGUUUUUGAUCUUUUAAAUGCUCAAAUUUAAAACAUUUUCAAAUUUCAUUUUGAAAAUAAACAAUGAAAUAACUUCCUUUAAUACUUUUGAAAUUAUCAUUUUGUUUAAUAUGUCAUCGAAUUUCUCUGAUGGAAUUGAAUAGUUUUU